rnacentral:lncRNA from 1 species
CACGUUUUGAGAAAUGUCUCACCAAACACAUUUUCAUUUUCAAAACUGAAAUUACAAGCAUAAAAACACCACCUUAAAAACUUCAAAAGAACAACCCAAAUAUUAUUGAAUUGCAGAUUACCCAAAUACAAGAUAGUGAAGAUACCCAUCCAAAAUUAACCCAAAAUCAGAGUGUGGGAGUCAUGCAGAGAUAGAAUAAAAAAUUUGGAUGGGUUCUCAUGCUUUCCAAUUUUUUUUUCUUUCUUAUCUGUUAAAUAUGCUUUGCAGAUUUGAAGGAAGAAAUAAGUGCAGGUUGAUUAUAUAAAGGGGAGAACAAAUGGCUGCUUUUUGACAGGCUUAGUUUGUCUUAUUGUGGGUUACAACUUUUCAGUGCCCUUAAAUAUGCUUUGCAGAUUUGAAGGAAGAAAAGUGCAGGUUGAUUAUAUAAAGGGGAGAACAAAUGGCUGCUUUUUGACAGGUUUAGUUUGUCUUACUGUGGGUACAACUUUUCAAGGCCCUUAGAUAAGGUGAGGAAAGGAGGUUGAGAAAAUGAACCGGUGCUACCCAGUACCAGUAAAGUUUAGCACUACUUCAAAGCAAACACAGUUCAAUGAAUAUAAUACCUCUUGUCUAGCACAGUGCCGGUUAAUCCCAGAAAUCAAACGGGCCCAAACAGAAAAUGGGUAACUGUUGAGCCAAUGUUUCGGUAAUGUGCACAUUAUUUUAUUAUUUAUUAUGAUGAUCAAUGAAAGCAACACAAAAGAUAGACUUGAUAUUGGAUCAAAUACCUUAAGUUCUCGUUAUAUUGACAAAGUUUUCCAUCUGAUGGUACGUGUAAAUGUAUAUCGAUCAAAACAAAAAAACUAAAAGAAACAGAAAACAAA